rnacentral:tRNA from 2 species
UAGACAGAGGCCUGCUGGAUAAGGCAUCUAGCUGUUAACUAGACUAUUAUGGGAUCGAGGCCCAUCUGUCUAG